CUACUGAGCUAGCUGCAGACACAAGCAGUAAGCUAGCUAGCUAGCUAUCCUAUAUGGCCUAUGAUCAGUGGCGUCUUUUUGAGAGAAGCCGUCGUUAAUUUCCUUCUCCUAACAAUAGAAAACGGAGACAACUGCAUGCAAACCGACAACCCCCCUCCCCCCCCAAUUUCCACCGAAAUAUGACCUCCUGGCCAGUGUACAGAGUGAGAGUCUAUUCAAUCAGGAGGGACGACUCAACAUAAAAAAGGUACCAUUAUUAUUUCUUCAGGAACCACAUUUAAUCCCUUGCCUUUAAAUCUAGACCUAUAGCCUCGUCCCCAUGGCAGGCAGGUUUUAUUAUUAAUAGAACGCCUGCGAUACACUGUAUCUGCAUGGGUGUGUCUAGAGCGAUAGUAAACUGUAUUGUAAACAUGCUGUAAAUGCCUAUUACCAAUUCCAACCACGUCCAGAUACAAUCUUCCCCAGGCCUAUUUUUCGACCUAUGGGAACUGGGGGAAACACUCCCAGCUGACUCGUAUGUGCGUUCUUUACAAGAAGCUGUCUUUGAAAUGCUUGCGCUUCAUGUGCGCUACCUAGAUAAUAAUUGUGACUCUACUACAUGUGUCGGUGGUGGUGGGUUGGGCGUUGUAUGUGCGACCCCACCUAGUGUACUUAAUACGAUAACGCCACGGCUAAGAGGAUAUAGAGGCGGUGUCAUACAUGUAGGUCGGUAGGGGUUGGGUACCACCAUACCGCAGUUUAUUAAUUACUUUGCGGUAACGCCGCGGCUAUAUAGGCUGGGGUCAUAGGUCGGUAGUUUGUGCUUUAUAUAGAAUACAUGUAGGUACCUGCAAAAUUCUAAGAGUGAAACUACAUGAACAAGGUAGAGAUAGUUCUUGUGUCUACUAGCCUUUUUAUGUAAGAAACUAGUAUAGUAGUACAGGUAUAGUAUUACUAACUAUACCCACCUCCCCUAGA